rnacentral:misc_RNA from 1 species
GAUGAAGAACGUAGUGAAAUGCGAUAAGUAGUGUGAAUUGCAGAAUUCAGUGAAUCAACGAAUCUUUGAACGCACAUUGCGCCCUUUGGUAUUCCUUAGGGCAUGCCUGUUCGAGCGUCAUUUAAACCUUCAAGCUAAGCUUGGUGUUGGGUGACUGUCCGCUUCACUGCGGACUCGCCUCAAAAUUAUUGGCGGCCGGUACAUUGGCUUCGAGCGCAGCAGAAACGCGAACUCGGGCCCGUCGUAUUGGCUCCAGAAGCUAUCUUCACAAUUUUGACCUCGGAUCAGGUAGGGAUACCCGCUGAACUUAAGCAUAUCAAUAAGCGGAGGA